rnacentral:misc_RNA from 1 species
AGAGAUAAAAGUGAAUAGAUCGAAUUAAUAUUUUAAAAGCAAAGACUCGAAUCCAAAGGGAGUGGAGCAUGCAUCACGACUGCAGUCUCCACCAGAUUGGUCCCACCUCCCCCCAAUAAAUCUGGCACCAACUUUGUUCUUCUCUGCAUUUUUAUUUUCCCCUCUUCACACAUAUAACCAUUGCUCACUUGCCCGAUUUCCCUCCUAAUCACCGAUGCCAUAAAACGACAUCGUCAAGCUCUGUACUUUAUUUGUUUUUUCCUUUUACCCACUGAAGUUUUAUGGCUUUACCUUCAUGAUGCUUAAAAAAGAAAACAAGAAACCAACACAACUACUGAACUACAGUUACAAUUAAGAAGUUAAAGCGGAACAGC